GCCUGGCUGGCUCAGUCGGUAGAGCAUGAGACUCUUGAUCUCAGGAUUGUGAGUUCAAGCCCCACAUUGGGUG